rnacentral:rRNA from 1 species
UGGGGAAUAUUGGACAAUGGAUGGAAAUCUGAUCCAGCCAUGCCGCGUGCAGGAAGACGGCCCUAUGGGUUGUAAACUGCUUUUGUGUGGGAGCAAUAAGGUCUAUGCGUAGACUGAUGAGAGUACCAUACGAAUAAGCAUCGGCUAACUCCGUGCCAGCAGCCGCGGUAAUACGGAGGAUGCGAGCGUUAUCCGGAUUCAUUGGGUUUAAAGGGUGCGUAGGCGGACUAUUAAGUCAGUGGUGAAAUCCUGCAGCUUAACUGCAGAACUGCCAUUGAUACUGAUAGCCUUGAGUUUGGUUAAGGUAGGCGGAAUGUGUAAUGUAGCGGUGAAAUGCUUAGAUAUUACACAGAACACCAAUUGCGUAGGCAGCUUACUGAGCCGACACUGACGCUGAGGCACGAAAGCGUGGGGAUCGAACA